CUUACAUCUCUUCGGAGCAUUUUACGAGGUGCUGCAUGGUUGUCGUCAGCUCGUGCCGUGAGGUGUCGGGUUAAGUCCCAUAACGAGCGCAACCCUACCCUUUAGUUGCCAUCAGGUAAUGCUGGGGACGUCUAAAGGAACUGCCUACGCAAGUAGUGAGGAAGGCGGGGAGUGACGUCAAAUCAGCACGGCCCUUACGUCCAGGGCUACACACGUGCUACAAUGGCCGAUACAGAGGGCAGCUACCUGGUGACAGGAUGCAAAUCUCCAAAGUCGGUCUCAGUUCGGAUCGGAGUCUGCAACCCGACUCCGUGAAGUUGGAUUCGCUAGUAAUCGCGCAUCAGCCAUGGCGCGGUGAAUACGUUCCCGGGCCUU
rnacentral:rRNA from 1 species